rnacentral:rRNA from 1 species
AAGAUUAAAAACUCAAAGGAAUUGACGGGGGCCCGCACAAGCAGCGGAGCAUGUGGUUUAAUUCGAGGCAACGCGAAGAACCUUACCUAGACUUGACAUCUCCUGAAUUACCCUUAACCGGGGAAGCCCUUCGGGGCAGGAAGACAGGUGGUGCAUGGUUGUCGUCAGCUCGUGUCGUGAGAUGUUGGGUUAAGUCCCGCAACGAGCGCAACCCCUAUUGUCAGUUGCUACCAUUAAGUUGAGCACUCUGGCGAGACUGCCCGGGUUAACCGGGAGGAAGGUGGGGAUGACGUCAAAUCAUCAUGCCCCUUACGUCUAGGGCUACACACGUGCUACAAUGGCAGGUACAAAGAGACGCGAUCCCGCGAGGGGGAGCAAAUCCCAUAAAACCUGCCCCAGUUCAGAUUGCAGGCUGCAACUCGCCUGCAUGAAGUUGGAGUUGCUAGUAAUCGCGAAUCAGCAUGUCGCGGUGAAUACGUUCCCGGGCCUUGUACACACCGCCCGUCACACCAUGAGAGUUGGCAAUACCCGAAGUCCGUGAGGUAACUAGUAAUAGAGCCAGCGGCCGAAGGUAGGGUCAGCGNAAUGGGGUGAAGUCGUAACAAGGUAGCCGUAGGAGAACCNNNNANNGGAUCACCUCCUU